AUGCUUUAUCACAUAUUUACUUCUCUUUUUCUCUGUGGAUACCUAUUUGCUAUGCCACUUCUUUUCUACAAAUUCAUUCUGAGCUCUCUCAUCAGAGUUUGCGCUGUCAUUUCAAGCAGCAAAUGUAAACAUAUAAUGCCUUCCAGUUGCUCUUCAGAUACAGAACAGCUCCUCCUUAACAGGCCCAGGUGAUCCUGCGUGCUGAUGCCACUGUGCCCUCUCACCCCAACUGUCUGCCUCACUCUCUGCUCUCAGUUUCACUUCUUAAAAGUCAUAUAAUGCAUAUGUUCAUAGGACCUUUGCAAGACCUUCCUUCUGCCUAAUGCAAACACCCCUGCCAGCAGCCCAUGCUGUCCCUCUCAUCUCAAUCAUUCUUCAGCUAUCAGCCAAAGAGAAGCUGACUCUGCCACAACUGUAUGUUUUCUUCCUUUGUAUAUGCUGUUAAUGAACCCCAUAUGUUUCAAUGAAAACCCCCAUUCUCUCUCCUUUUCUUUCCACGACCAAUGCCUUAUUUCUUUGAACACUAAGCUGAUCAGGAAAUGAUACAUCAGAUUUUGUUCAUCACUGCAAGUCAAGCAGUUAAUAUAAUGCCUGCCAAAUUAUAUGAAAUCCAAAUUAUUAUUGCUAAAUAACACAUAUCCCACAGUUCACUUAUUCAAGCGAUAAUACAAACUUAUUCACUCUUUCUAUUAGUAUUCCUCAGUAUUAAAUUCCUCUGGUAAGCUUUUGGGUCUCUAUGUCUUCUUUUUCUUGUACUCAUUUUUUUGUUCUAUUCCUGUUUCUAUUUCAAACUGCUAUCACACAAUUUCAAAAAAUGCUGAGACCAGAUUCUUUUAAAUGUAAAUAUGGCUUGCCCUGGGAUGCCUUUAGCUGCUUCAGAUUUGCUAGGUUCCUGUAAAUUUUGAAAGGAAAAAAAUAUUCCAUUUUCAGUGCAGAUUAUAAUGUAAGCUGUAAUUUUUCCCUCCUUCCUCAAAUGUUCUUUUAUUUGGUCAUAAGAACAUAUUCUCUAUGUUAUGUGUCACUUGAAAC
rnacentral:lncRNA from 1 species